UACGAAGGGGGCUAGCGUUGCUCGGAAUCACUGGGCGUAAAGGGUGCGUAGGCGGGUCUUUUAAGUCAGGGGGUGAAAUCCUGGAGCUCAACUCCAGAACUGCCUUUGAUACUGAAGAUCUUGAGUUCGGGGAGAGGUGAGUGGAACUGCGAGUGUAGAGGUGAAAUUCGUAGAUAUUCGCAAGAACACCAGUGGCGAAGGCGGCUCACUGGCCCG
rnacentral:rRNA from 1 species